ensembl:lncRNA
CCAAACAAUUAUAUCUUUGUUUCAUCAAACCAGAGAUCUACAAUUUUUUUUCUGAGGUCUUUGCUGAUUUCUUUUGGUUUUCCCAUGAUGUCAAGAAAAGAGGCACUGAGUUUGAAGGUAGGCCUUGAAAUACAUCCACAGGUACACCUCUGAUAGGCUAAUUGACAUCAUUUGAGUCAAUCAGAAGCUUCUAAAGCCAUUACAUAAUUUUCAGGAAUUUAAGUAAGAAGUGGGUAUUGGUCUGAAGCCGAAAAAUAUAGUAAAUUCAGGAGCACCACAAUGCCUAUUCCACCCAUGCUCUACCAAGCUUUUACAGCCCCACAAUGCCUACUCCACCCAUGCUUUACCAAGGUUUUACAGCACCACAACGCCUACUCCACCCAUGCUCUA